rnacentral:rRNA from 1 species
AUGGCGUCCCAGCUGGUUGAGAGCCACCGUGCCGGCGCCGAGGUCCACAAGGGGAACGAUAUCUGCAAGAAGAAGACCGUCGAGCUUCUCGAAGUGCUUGGCCUCCCGAAAGGCCUCUUUCCUAUGGAUGACAUCGAGGAGGUCGGGCACAACUGUGAGAGUGGGUUUGUGUGGAUGCUUCAGAAGAAGAAGAACGAGCACAUGUUCAACAAGCUCAACCAGACCGUCUCCUACGACACUGAGGUGACCGCUUUUGUGGAGAAGGGCAAGAUGAAGAAGGUCACCGGGGUCAAGGUCGAGGACCUAUACUCUUUGGUCGAGGUCUAUGUGGAUGAGUCUUCUGCUGAUAAGGUUACCAUCAAGACUGACACCGGUCUGUCUGAAACCCAUGAUGCGCCCGUGUUUGCUGUUGGGGAAUAG